GUUGGAGAAUGGACGCUCGCACGAAGUUCGCGUUUACGUUCCGGGGCAAACUACGAGCUCCGUGUCUCGGUUGAUAAGAUGAACGUUUGUUAAGUAACGUCCUUAACAUUGAUGCAGCUACCAAGGUCCCGCUCAGACGUUUGCGUGAUAAUUUUUGCCUAUUUGUAUCGCCUUUUGUUUUGUGAAAUGGCGCAUCAGUCGGGGUAAAAGCAGUUUACCUUCGUUUCCUACCCACGGUUGAAAAGUGAUGGAAAUGUUGCUACAUUUUGCUCACUUCUAGUAGCGUGCAACUAUUUCCAAUAUUUUCACUGCUGCUGUUGUCAGGUCGGGCCCUGGAAGGUGCCUGAAAGUUUAAUGACACAUCUCUUGGCUGUUCAACUCUGCACGGGCACGCUAACCGCAGUUGAGACGCACCUCAGUUCCGGCCAACCGAAAUGGUGUUCAUUUAUAUUCAACGUCGCUGUAUGGACGCCGUGGCCGGCCGCCAACCGUCAAGUAUCAGGCAUCGCUUCAGGGGCGCCUUUACCACUGCCACCAAUGUGAUUAUGCAACCCACAAACCAUGCAACCUUGUAGCACACAACCGCAUUCACACAGGCGAGCGGCCGUUUCACUGCCACCUAUGCCCCCAGAGCUUUGCACACAAAUGCCAGCUCACGAUACACGUGCGCCUGCACAAAGGCGAGCGACCGUACCACUGCCCCGUCUGCCCCUUGACCUUUCUGCAGGCCAGUCAAAUGAAAUGUCACUUGAAGAGGCGUCAUCGUGAUGCGACACAGUGAGACAAUGUGUGUUGCUAGUUGGUGCUGCACGACUACGAAUGGUACAGUGCGAUUUCGGACACAAGACAACAGAAAGUCAAUAGAACACAACAGAAGACAACAGUACAACCCUUCGACUGAAGUUCGAUAAUGACGUGGGGGGGGUUAUGUACAAAUUGGCACAAGCAAAGCCAAUACCCAAACUUGUGUGCGCCCUUGGUAGUUGCAGUUCAUGUACAGCAAUAGCUGGGGUAUGCAGGUGCCUUUUCGUGAUCCUUUUCAAGUAUUUAAGAGACAUUAGGGAAACCUUUAGCAGUGGUGUGUAGGCCUUAAGCAAAUCCACCCAAUGUGAUGUGUAUGCCUGGUUUGACAAGGUAUCAAGAGCUGGAUUUACUGGAUUACCUGACCAAACAUGAUGCCAUGACCAGUGUCACAAAAGUGCCAAUGUUUCUCUCUGAAGAGGAGAUUCAAGAUUCCAGAGGAUAUUCAAAGCAUCACCAAUGCACUACUGUUGUGUUGUGUGGUGAGCAGUUUGGACCGUUGUGUGCUUUCCUGGAGAGGCACCACCCUGCAUCAAGAUUCGCUGACACCUCCUCGCCCCAUGGGGUCAUGCCACACAGACAGGAAAAAAGGGUCUGGACUGCACAGCGCAAAAAAGGCGCCAGCCAUCACCUCCAGGGCCCCCCUACUACUGCCACCAUUGUGAUUAUGUGGCUGACAGACCGUCGUCUUUAGUCAGGCACCGGGUCAUCCACACAGGCGAACGACCAUUCCAGUGCCACAUCUGCACUCGGAGUUUCUCGCAGAAGGCCCACCUCAAGUCACACAUGUGCACGCACACAGGCGAGCGACCUCUCCGCUGCUCUGUCUGUUCCAUGUCCUUUGUGCACUUUGUUCAACGGAGCAGACAUAUGAGAAAGCAUCAUCGUCACCAGGAUACCGCACAGUGAAGUAGAUCAUCGCCACUUUUCAAAUGGAUCUGAAAGAGGGACCUAAUGACAGGCCCAAGUGUGCAUGAAAGUGUCAAGACGUCAUCGUACACCAAGUAGGUGAAGUACCACUGCAUGCUGUUGUUCAUCAUAAUGCUAAGGCACCUCGCAGGACAGUGAAACUUGAUUGAUCAAGGUGUUCUGUCAUGUUGGGACGUUGAAUUUCUGCUGCCAUCAGAUGUUGGGUAUGUUGAAGUAUGAUGGAUGUUGUGUUUAAAAACAUGUUCACAUUUGUAGGACCAGGUCAUGUUGCCUGCAAGUGAAUACAGUGUCACUAUUCAGUAGAAUGAGCCACACUGUAGAAUGAGCCACAUCCACUAAUCACUUUUUUUUUUUUCAAGCUGCCUUGCAUGUUCAUUGUUGUUAAUAAUCUUGGCCAUCCUUAUUUUGUGACAAGGACCGCUUGUAGUUGGUAAAUCUUGCUGUAUUUAUCCGUUCCAUGCACUGUUCCUUUAAUAAAGGCCUUUCUGCAGCUAGGAUAUAUUGAGUACUUGUCAGCAUAAAUUUGCUCACAAUUGUAUGAUUGCUGCUGUCAAAGUUGCUGUCGCCAUGAAUGAUAAGGGACUCUUCUUGACUUGAGACAUCCCUUUAAGUUGAAGAUUGUCCUUGCAACUUCCCCUCAUAGAUUUCAUAGUUUUCAUAUAGGUUACUGCUGCACAAGUUGGUCGUGUUUUUUGCAGCAGCUUUUUUUGUAAAUGAAGACACUAGUUCCAUUUCUUAUGGCAAUGCACUCCAUUAAUUACCUGUAUUUUUUGUACAGUAGACUACUGGUAAUUCGACUUCGGUUAAUUAUUUUUUGUUUAAUUCAAUCCCGACCAAAGGUCCAUGCCAUUGCCGGUACAUUUCUGUGGGCCAAGACUCUCGUGGUUUCAAUCCUAAAAUCAGCCCUUGCCAGAUAAUAAGAACUUAAGUAUGCUGACCCCAAUAGGGACUCCAGUUGUGAUUUAAGGAUUGAGCAUGGGUCUUUGCAGCACUAGCGGAAGUGAAUGCAUCGAACCCAAAUUAUCUUUAAAAAAAAAAAACUUAUUUUUGGCCUGCCCUCAGCAUAUUUUCAAGUGAAAUUGGCAGCUAACAAUGAAUGGUUAUGGGGGGGGGGGGGGGGGGGGGUAUUUAUCCAGUUAUAAUGCGUACCUUUUUCCCAGGAAAAUGGGUUUGAAGAGGGUCUGUGUGUUACUUGGAUAUAAACACUAAAACAUGUUUGUGGCAUUGACAUUAACUUAAUGUCGGCACCUGUUAUCAUUGCCAUUGUCAUCCCAUUGACAGCACAAGAUGACGAUGGAGCAAGUUUUUGUGCACUUUGGUAAAGAUGACAUGCUGCUUGCAUUACAAGAGCUCAUUCAAAAGAGAAAUAUUUGUACAUGCUAACCUAAUGGCAACAGAGCAUGCCCUCACAAUGUCGGAGCCUUGCCUGCAUGAAGGGUGAAGUUAUAAAAUUGUUAGUCAAGGAAGUGGGCCUACUUCCCAUUCUCAAUGCUUGCGAAGGCUGUCAAGAAAUGCAGAAUAUCAGAUGCAGUGGACUGCACGGGGGAUGAUGUUGUGGCCCAUAGUAGUGUUAAAAGCUUGCUGUCUGAGAGUGACAGUGAUGGACAUUAAGUGUAAAUAAAUUUCCAUCAUGUGAAGGGAAGUUCUGUCGCUUCCAUUUUUUUCUGAUUGCCAUAAUUGCACGCUUGCUACAUUUUUAUUGUGAUAGCAAUUGCAUGGAUACUUCAAGCGAAUUUUUGUCAUCAUCAUUGCUGACGCAACGCUUCCUCACACGUGUCUCCCCCUCGAGCCCUGCUGUGCAACACCGUGCCCUCUCUUGGAAGUAAUUUCUGGUGGGGCCAAAGGCUGGUGGCUACGUGUACGCUGUCUUUGUGUGCACCUAGUGCUGGAGGUUGCGUAAUCCCAAGUUUUGGAGAUCGUGUUGACGGGAGAGGCAGCAGAAGCAUUCACUCCCUUAGGUUUGCGCUCUUCACCAUGAUAGCGUUAUGACAGCGUGUGUGUGCGGUCAUCGAGUGAGAUCGAUUCCUGUUUGCUUGUAUGGGCACAACACCAAGCUUACUAAUUUAAUUAAUAAGCGAAUGUUUACUGCAGUUAAAUGGCUGAUAAAACUACGAACCUUACAUCGUGCAUUCGUGUAAUAGUUUGCUAUUGCAAUGAAUGCUUCACCCUUCAGGUGAAGUGCGACAUUUCUUGUUAUUCUAGGUUUGGGGAAGCAGUAGAAUCAGGUAAAUACUGCCAAUAAUGUUGUGUUAUGUUCUGAUUUAAAUUUUCUGAACAUUCUUUUCAUUCAGCCGGCCGGAUAUGAUUAAUGCCGUCAGUCACGUCGAGGUCAAAUAAAUAGAAGUUAACUGUAUAUCUGUAGCUGAAUCCAUGUAACAUUUUAGCCAUAAUUAUUUGUGGCCAUAUUUUUUUUUUCAACUCUGAUAAUUAGUUUUAUUGGAUGCUAAGGAAAACUGUAAAAGGGUACCAUGCUGAAGUAAGGUAAUAGCUGCCGUGUAAUAAACGUGUGAUUGGUACCAAAGUAAUGACCAGGAGGGUAAUACAGUUAAACCUCGAUACCAUAAUUUUAAUAGUUGACCCUUUUCGCAGAGUAGCUUGUUCUCGAAAAAUGAGAUGGCUCUUUCGACGACAUGCUGCACGUUCCCUCAGCGAAAGCACAUGUAUACGAAACCAUUACCGCUUGUGCCCUGUUUCCGCGCGAACAGCUGUCGGAAAUGCCACUCGGUUUUCGCUCACGCACUGUGCUCCGUUCAUGCUGCAAAAUGAUGGAGUGGUGGAUUAAAGACGUGUGCAGUAGUUGGCUGCAAAAAUAGUCACUGGCAUAUUGAGGAAUGGAAUGAAUAUGUGCGACAAAGUUCACGGACCGUUGCUACAUACGGACAGCCUGUGUUGCCGGCCCUUCUCGAUGCAUGACUUUCCUCGAAAAAAAAAAAAAAAAUUGCUCAUUCGCCGGCGUUGUAUCACUAACCUCUAAAGAAAAGACUUCAACCCAGGAACGCCGGCAAUAUGAGUAUCGUUCAUUAAACAUUGACAAAGAGAGUAGUGCCGCUUCCUACGCAUCUACCGCAACCCGCACGCAAACUUACACACUCUAUCGCCAGUGUAAUUAAGAAUAUGUGAAUGAGCGCACAGCGAAUUUCACAUUGAAAAUACGAAAUUCUGACAUGGGGCUUCUUGACAUUAGCACAAAUUACCAAGCAGCAGGAAAAUGGGAAGUCAACUGAGCAGAAGCUACUAAUGCUCAUGGAGGCAAGGAAUUGAAUCCACAUUGCACAAGAACAAGUUCCAAUCCGAAGUCCGCACUUUCCAUCAUUUCUGUAGUGGGCAAAUGCCCCUAUCACCAAUUUUCUCUCAAGUGAGUGUUCGAAAUUCUCUGUUUAGUUUGAUAUAAAAAAUUUCAAAGCGUUUGUUUAGACUGGAAAUACAGUUGAACUACUGUUGUUGUAGCCUACAGGGAGAAAGAACUGUGCGAAUGGUAGCUUUUAUACAGCUGUGAGAAUGUCAAUUUUUUUAAGCAAACCCAGACUGACACAGUCAUUGAUGCAACUUUUUGUUACAAGCAAUUCUACUGCAGCAAGCACUUUUGCUGUGCAGAUGCACUAUGGUUACUGAGUGAACAUUUCAGACUGUUAAAUGCCUGUCUGCUGCCUGCUAUUUGUUUCAUUGUGAAUCAAUGUUUAUUUUAUCAUCAAAGUGUACAUGGGCCAGUCCAAAUGUGUAAUUUGUUGGUGUUACCUGGAUUGAAAAAUAUAUAAAUACCCUUUGGGUUUACCAUACAGCUUUUCUCUGACUCUUUUUCUUAAAGCGAGUUACGCUGUGCCCUAUUCGAUAUUCAAGGCCAGGUUUCUUUCUUUAUAUUCCUAUUCAAAUCACUUACAAAAUUUCAGCAUUUAGUCACCCUUGUUUUCCUACGCUAUGUUCUUUUGGCUAGCUACAGUUUAAUCUGUGCGUUAUAGUUCUCACUUUAACAUGUCUAAGUGA